UACGUAGGGUGCAAGCGUUAUCCGGAAUUACUGGGCGUAAAGCGUGCGCAGGCGGUGAUGUAAGACAGAUGUGAAAUCCCCGGGCUCAACCUGGGAACUGCAUUUGUGACUGCAUCGCUGGAGUGCGGCAGAGGGGGAUGGAAUUCCGCGUGUAGCAGUGAAAUGCGUAGAUAUGCGGAGGAACACCGAUGGCGAAGGCAAUCCCCUGGGCCUGCACUGACGCUCAUGCACGAAAGCGUGGGGAGCAAACAGG
rnacentral:rRNA from 1 species